rnacentral:lncRNA from 1 species
UCUCUUUUUCUUUGCUUUGUUUUCCUUUUGUAAAUGGCCUCUUCCUCAUCCCCUGUUUCCUUUUUCUCAAAAAUUUCUUGAAUCUUCGGGUAAUGAGUGCCAUCUCUUCAUCCUGUUCUUCAUCUUCAGUGUCAUCAGUUUCUUCAUCUGGUGGAGCUGUUGAUUUGAGGGCAAUGGUUCUUUUCUUUUUGACUUCUUCCUCUUGAUGUUGCUUCAUGCUCAGCUCAUGGGUCAUCAAUGAUCCUAGAAGCUCUUCCAAGGGUAGAAUGUUCAAGUCCUUAGCUUCUUAGAUGGCAGUCACUUUGGCUUUCCAAGUUCUUGGUAAGGACCUGAGAAUCUUUCUUACAAGCUCACUGUUAGNNN